AUUGAACGCUGGCGGCAUGCCUUACACAUGCAAGUCGAACGGCAGCACGGGUGCUUGCACCUGGUGGCGAGUGGCGAACGGGUGAGUAAUAUAUCGGAACGUACCUUAUUGUGGGGGAUAACGCAGCGAAAGCUGUGCUAAUACCGCAUAAUCCCUAAGGGGGAAAGCGAGGGACCGUAAGGCCUCGCGCAAUUAGAGCGGCCGAUACCUGAUUAGCUAGUUGGUGAGGUAAAGGCUCACCAAGGCAACGAUCAGUAGCUGGUCUGAGAGGACGAUCAGCCACACUGGGACUGAGACACGGCCCAGACUCCUACGGGAGGCAGCAGUGGGGAAUUUUGGACAGUGGGGGCAACCCUGAUCCAGCAAUGCCGCGUGAGUGAAGAAGGCCUUCGGGUUGUAAAGCUCUUUUGUCAGGGAAGAAACAGCAGCUCUAACACAGUUUGCGAAUGACGGUACCUGAAGAAUAAGCACCGGCUAACUACGUGCCAGCAGCCGCUGUAA
rnacentral:rRNA from 1 species